AACGAACGCUGGCGGCAGGCCUAACACAUGCAAGUCGAGCGAGGACUUCGGUCCUAGCGGCGGACGGGUGAGUAACGCGUGGGAACGUGCCCUUUGCUUCGGAAUAGCCCUGGGAAACUGGGAGUAAUACCGGAUGAGCCCUUUGGGGGAAAGAUUUAUCGGCGAAGGAUCGGCCCGCGUUGGAUUAGGUAGUUGGUGGGGUAAUGGCCUACCAAGCCGACGAUCCAUAGCUGGUUUGAGAGGAUGAUCAGCCACACUGGGACUGAGACACGGCCCAGACUCCUACGGGAGGCAGCAGUGGGGAAUCUUAGACAAUGGGGGCAACCCUGAUCUAGCCAUGCCGCGUGAGUGAUGAAGGCCUUAGGGUUGUAAAGCUCCUUCAGCUGGGAAGAUAAUGACGGUACCAGCAGAAGAAGCCCCGGCUAACUCCGUG
rnacentral:rRNA from 1 species